ACCCCCUACCGAAAGGGAUCUGUUCCUAUAUAUUCUUUAUCUCAAGCAAUAGCUUUCAAGUGCCCGACCCUCUUCCCUUGAUCAAUGAGUGAGAAAGCAAGAGCCAGUCAGAGAGUCACCAUAGCCAAGUGAUGUUUUCAGGUGGUUCAAUCUAGAAGUGGGACGAAAAGAAGAGCUGUCGUAGAAUAGUCUUAGUCCUGUCUACCUUGAGAUUGCCCCUAUCUAUCAACGAGGGACCCCCUGAAAGGCGAAUAGGAAGCUUUAAGCGAUCUGGGAUCCCACCUUUGAUCGAGAUGAAGGUGUAGUUUUCACUAGGAAUCCUAGGGUUGCCGAUCAGGUGAAGUCUUAGUUUUUGGGCACAAAGCAUUCCCUCUUCACUUCCCGUUCUAUUUCUUUCUUUCCCUCGAGCUGGGAACCCCUAGAUCAGCUAAUCUGUAACUUCCUUCGCUGCCUUUCGAGUGCAUCGGAUUCUAUGCAUUUUAUUCCCCAAUUGCGGAUUAUCUUGCAGCGCAAUGCAUUUUCAAUUUAUGAUUCAAAAGGCUAGGACGAUGAAAAAGCAUCUCAAAUGCAACCAACUUUCACUGCCAACCUUUCUUUUCACUAUCUGCUAUCACAGCCUAUUCCGCUUAAUUAAAUAAAGGGAUCCAUGUCAUUUCCCUCCAAAUCUCGCUACGUUGCGCCGUGAUCCACUAAUUAUUUGUCUUUUAACGUAUGAGAGAGCCUGCCAGGAAAGAGUCCAAGUCAAGCUUUCCAGCAGCCAGAUGCGGAUUGAAUAGUUGCGCUUACUCCUUCAACGGCAACUGCAGCUAAGACUGCUUAUUCCUUGUUCACAUUCGACCAUGAAUUCAGAGUUGAUAAGAGAGAGGACGUACUUUUAUUAUGAUUGAUAGGCGGACUUCACUCCCUUUGAGCUAACAGCCAAGAAGAGUUCACAUUCAACUUCCUUACCUUACCAUGAGCAGAGUGUCGCCGAGAGGAAUCAGACUUAUUUAAUCAUUCCCAUAGAUUGCUAGUAGUUCAGUUCCAUUCAUUCGCUUUAUAAAAAAAGUCGACCGGCUUUCGGGCACUUCUGUCUACGGGCCCUUCUUAUGUUAUGCAAUUUGCAAUUCUGUGAACCUUUCUUCUAGAAGAGAACGGAAACUCCACACAGGCAAUUUCACACCUUCCGAAUGUUCCAUUUGACCGAAUGUGACAGCUAAUCAACACUAAUUCAUUUCAGGAACAAGAGAAAGGGUCUUUCAGCUAAAGAUCAAUCUAGAAAGCAGAGUCCAAGGUACAUGUGUUAAGCAUAUCACAACAUAUGACAAUCAGUUUCUUUCGGGAACAUGAAAAAGCCCAGCUAACUAAGUUUUUUAACAAAGAUUGGGACCUGAAAUAGUAAAACGAAGAAGAGAAGGUCAAGCAAGCGUAUUAAUAUGGGCAUUUCUUCUAAAAGCCUUUCUUAGCUUUAUGGCUGAUAGCAUGAACUUGGUCUUCUUGGUCCCUUGUACCAGAGGAAGCAUGGAGGUGUCUUGUCUUCUAUAAUGCAAAGUGAAUUCAUGUGUGGUUUAGAAUCCUUGACUUGCCUUAGGAAGUCUAUUCCCACUUGAAAGUCAUCCGAAGUACUGAUUGAACUGGCUUUUACUUCCUAUUAUGGCAGCUAGCUGAGAAAGAGACCAUUGACCUGUCAGCUAUCACUCAUCAUAUAGAAUAACGAUUGGACAUCACCAUCACAUAGUAGAUAAGAAUUUGUUUGAAUCAAGAUGUCGGAAAGAAAGAAGCAGAUUGAAUGCCCAGACUGUGGAAUCCUGCC
rnacentral:lncRNA from 1 species